UCAUAUCUGUGAACUAAAAGUAAAUACUAGCUCCAUUUCCACUGAGGGAAACAUACCAUAGUCCUCACCUCCCUAAGUCCCUCAGUGCAUUCCAGGUACUGAUGCGGCUAAGGCUUAAUGUUUCUACAACUUUCCUGUCUCAUGCAUUCAAUGUGUCAACAGCCACUGCCUCUAGGGUAUUCACUGAUGUCAUCGAUGUCAUGUUCAGUCGCAUGAAACCGCUUGUACUGUGGCCAGAAAGAGAGCAGUUGCAAAAAACCAUGCCAAUGCAAUUCAGAAAACAUUUUGGAAAGAAAUGUGCUGUUAUUAUUGAUUGUUUCGAAGUGUUUAUAGACCGUCCAUCUAAUCUUAAAGCCAGAGCAGAAACAUGGUCUUCAUAUAAGCACCGUAACACAGUGAAAUUUCUGACUGGUAUUACACCACAGGGCACAAUCUCUUACAUAUGAAAUGCAUGGGGAGGAAGAGCUAGCAACAAGUACAUAACUGAAAACAGUGGAUUUUUGGACAACAUUUUUCCUGGUGAUUUAGUUCUUGCAGACCGUGGCUUUGAUAUUCAGGACACCCUAGGCUGCAUAAUGGCUCAGGUAAAAAUCCCAGCCUUCACUCUGUUUGUACCAUUGAUAAGAUUGGACUUGUCUGUUGUGUGCUGGUGAACCUUUGUCCAUCAGUAGUUGAUUUUAACUGAAGUGAUAUUGCAGCACUUGAACAGAAACUUUUCAAAAUGUACUCUUACAGUUUUGACUGCAAUGUGAUAAGUUUGACAUGUUAGCACUCCAAGAUGUACAAAACAUGCUCAUGUAAUUCUGAAAUAAAACUGUAACAUGAAA